GACUUCUAUUGCUUAGGGUUGACGAUUGCUGUGACGACAGCACUGCAGACGACACCACAACCGCGAUCGUGUCAAAAUGAUGGAGUGAUUGUGGGCCAGGAUCGUCACCCAAAAUGCCAUUGCAGCUCCGGCUUCAAGGGAUAUGACUGCAGUCUGAGAGGCAAGCGUCUUAAGAUACGAGAGUUUAAGUACUAUUUAAAGCACGCGUAGGUGUGUUUUAUCACAUAUAAAAACGACUCAUCUUAUACGAGUUCAUUGGCGAAAUAAUUUUUAAAAUAAACUUUGUCUAAAUCGAGAAAAUCAAAGCUAAAGUUUAUGUAAAUUAACAUGAUUUUUAUCACAUAUAUAAAACCACGACACGCUUAUGAUUUUUCUUUGUGUUUUGCCCCUGAAUUAUCGAGUUUUUUAAUGAAUGAUGUUUGAGUGUUGAGUUAUCCGAUAGUUUAAAUUGGCAGAGGGCAGGUGCCAUGUCCCCCCCUGAAACAAAACCAACAUUGUCAAUUCCAUUUAAAGAAUGAGCGAAUGAGUAAAGAAAAAACCCCUCCCCCCGUCGACCGACAACGAUGGACGGAUGUAAGUUUUACUUUUGCCGACAAAAUAGGCGUGGUUUUGAUGUAGUUGGGGCGUGGUCAUUGCCGUUAUCAACUGACUUUCGUCUUGUCCCUAGUGACUCCUUGUGAAGCAAGUCCUUGUAGAAAUGGAGGAACAUGUUCAGAAAACAGAGAUGGAACAUUUACAUGUAACUGUACAGCUUUAUACAAUGGCAUCUUGUGUGAACAUCCUG